UGUCCUACGGGGGGCAGCAGUGAGGAAUAUUGGUCAAUGGGAGAGAUCCUGAACCAGCCAAGCCGCGUGAGGGAAGACGGCCCUAUGGGUUGUAAACCUCUUUUGCCGGGGAGCAAGCGUGCGUUCGUGAACGCGCGUCGAGAGUACCCGGAGAAAAAGCAUCGGCUAACUCCGUGCCAGCAGCCGCGGUAAUACAGAGGAUGCGAGCGUUAUCCGGAUUUAUUGGGUUUAAAGGGUGCGUAGGCGGGAUGCCAAGUCAGCGGUAAAAAUGCGGUGCUCAACGCCGUCGAGCCGUUGAAACUGGC
rnacentral:rRNA from 1 species